AGAGUUUGAUCCUGGCUCAGAACGAACGCUGGCGGCGUGCUUAACACAUGCAAGUCGAACGAGAAAAUCCCUUCGGGGGUGAGUAAAGUGGCGCACGGGUGAGGAACGCGUAGGUAAUCUACCCUCGGGCGGGGGACAACACUCCGAAAGGAAUGCUAAUACCGCGUAAGACCACGCUCACUAAGGUGAGAGGGGUAAAAGGUGGCCUCUUCUUGAAAGCUACCGCCAGAGGAUGAGCCUGCGUCCCAUCAGCUUGUUGGUAAGGUAACGGCUUACCAAGGCUAAGACGGGUAGCUGGUCUGAGAGGAUGAUCAGCCACACUGGCACUGGAACACGGGCCAGACUCCUACGGGAGGCAGCAGUGAGGAAUAUUGGGCAAUGGGCGCAAGCCUGACCCAGCCACGCCGCGUGAGUGAUGAAGGCCUUCGGGUCGUAAAGCUCUGUGGGGAGGGACGAAAAACUUCCAUUCGAAUAGGGUGGAAACUUGACGGUACCUCCUUAGCAAGCACCGCUAACU
rnacentral:rRNA from 1 species